GGCUGCCGUCAGCGGCGCGGCGGAAGCGACGUCGUCAAACGGCGCCAGGCCUCAGCGAGGAGCGGUGGCGGAGGCUGCGCCGGUGGCGGGGCCGGGGGCGAUGCGCGCCAGGGGCACCCGCGGGCCUGGCGGGACCCCUGCCCAGGGCCCCGUUACCAGCAGCCGCCGCCCACCUGCCCCGGGAGCCAUGGUCGGUUAGGGUCUGGCCGGCACCGGGGUCUGGUGCGGGGCUGGCGGGGCCCGGCCCGUAACGGGCAGCGGUGUGAGGGCACGGCACGGCUGGAAGUUGGAGGAAAGCCUCUGGGUGUUGGCGUUUCCCUUCCCUGCAGCCUCCGGCCCGUCGGCAGGGGAAGGCAGCGAGGCCGCGGGCAGCGCAGGAGCUGCUCCCUGCGAGGUUUGCGUGCUCCGCUGGCAGGGCAGGCCGUGAGCAAAGAGAGGCACGGCCGAGCGUUCUGAGGGAAUGUCCUCUGGCAGACGUGGUGGUAGCCUGGCAUCAAGAAGAAGAUUGACAAGAGAAGAGGACCGGCACCGUGGAGGUUGUGAGCAGAGAGCCGGCCUUUUGCC